GGAUGCGAUCAUACCAGCACUGAAGCACCGGAUCCCAUCAGAACUCUGAAGUUAAGCGUGCUUGGGCGAGAGUAGUACUAGGAUGGGUGACCUCCUGGGAAGUCCUCGUGUUGCAUUCC
rnacentral:rRNA from 1 species